CCGGAGUUGCCGGGGUUGAUGGCGGCGUCGGUCUGGAUGACGGCGAUCUUGAUGGUCUCGCUCGUGCCGGUGCCGCCGGUGCCCUGGCC
rnacentral:tRNA from 1 species